rnacentral:rRNA from 1 species
UACAGAGGUCUCAACCGUUGUUCGGAUUCAUGGGGCGUAAAGGGUGCGUAGGCGGUCGCGCAAGUCGGAUGUGAAAUCUCAGGGCUCAACCCUGAAACUGCAUUCGAUACUGCGUGGCUAGAGUGCUGGAGAGGAGACUGGAAUUUACGGUGUAGCAGUGAAAUGCGUAGAUAUCGUAAGGAAGACCAGUGGCGAAGGCGAGUCUCUGGACAGCAACUGACGCUGAGGCACGAAGGCCAGGGGAGCAAACGGG